UGGGGAAUAUUGCACAAUGGGCGCAAGCCUGAUGCAGCCAUGCCGCGUGUGUGAAGAAGGCCUUCGGGUUGUAAAGCACUUUCAGCGGGGAGGAAGGCGGUGAGGUUAAUAACCUCACCGAUUGACGUUACCCGCAGAAGAAGCACCGGCUAACUCCGUGCCAGCAGCCGCGGUAAUACGGAGGGUGCAAGCGUUAAUCGGAAUUACUGGGCGUAAAGCGCACGCAGGCGGUCUGUCAAGUCGGAUGUGAAAUCCCCGGGCUCAACCUGGGAACUGCAUUCGAAACUGGCAGGCUAGAGUCUUGUAGAGGGGGGUAGAAUUCCAGGUGUAGCGGUGAAAUGCGUAGAGAUCUGGAGGAAUACCGGUGGCGAAGGCGGCCCCCUGGACAAAGACUGACGCUCAGGUGCGAAGGCGUGGGGAGCAAACAGG
rnacentral:rRNA from 1 species